AUACUUACCUAGCAGGGGGGGCACCAUGAUCAAGAAGGCGGUUCACCCAGAGCGAGGCUCAGCCAUUGCACUUACUUUGUUGAUCCUUGCAAGUUCACGUGAUUAACAUUAAAGUAAAAUGUAAGUAUUGGUGCUAGAUCUGCGCUUUCGUUAUCUCUGU